rnacentral:rRNA from 1 species
ACGGGACCGCACAAGCGGUGGAUGAUGUGGAUUAAUUCGAUGCAACGCGAAAACCUUACCUACCCUUGACAUGUCCGGAAUCCUGCAGAGAUGCGGGAGUGCCCGAAAGGGAAUCGGAACACAGGUGCUGCAUGGCUGUCGUCAGCUCGUGUCGUGAGAUGUUGGGUUAAGUCCCGCAACGAGCGCAACCCUUAUCAUUAGUUGCUACGCAAGGGCACUCUAAUGAGACUGCCGGUGACAAACCGGAGGAAGGUGGGGAUGACGUCAAGUCCUCAUGGCCCUUAUGGGUAGGGCUUCACACGUCAUACAAUGGUCGGUACAGAGGGUUGCCAAGCCGCGAGGUGGAGCCAAUCCCAGAAAACCGAUCGUAGUCCGGAUUGCAGUCUGCAGCUCGACUGCGUGAAGUCGGAAUCGCUAGUAAUCGUGGAUCAGAAUGUCACGGUGAAUACGUUCCCGGGUCUU